rnacentral:antisense_RNA from 1 species
UUUAUCACUCCCGACCAAAUAGGUAUCGGCGUGUUCAA